rnacentral:rRNA from 1 species
UACAUAGGUCACAAGCGUUAUCCGGAAUUAUUGGGCGUAAAGGGUUUGUAGGUGGUAAAGCGGGUCUUCGGUAAAAUCUCCCGACUUAAUCGGGAUUCAGCCGAAGAAACUACUUUGCUCGAGGGUAGCAGGGGCAUACGGAAUACCCGGUGUAGCAGUGAAAUGCGCAGAUAUCAGGAGGAACACCGAUGGCGAAGGCAGGUCUCUGGGCCAUAACUGACGCUGAGAAGCGAAAGCAUGGGGAGCGAACAGG